GACGAACGCUGGCGGUGUGCUUAACACAUGCAAGUCGAACGGUAAGGCCCUUUCGGGGGUACACGAGUGGCGAACGGGUGCGUAACACGUGAGUAACCUGCCCUCAUCUCUGGGAUAACAGUCGGAAACGGUUGCUAAUACUGGAUAUGAGCUUGCAAGGCAUCUUGUGGGUUGGAAAGAUUUUUUUGGUUGGGGAUGGACUCGCGGCCUAUCGGGUAGUUGGUGGGGUAGUGGCUCACCAAGGCGACGACGCGUAGCCGGCCUGAGAGGGGGACCGGCCACACGGGAACUGAGACCCGGACCAGACUCGAACGGGAGCCAGAAGUGGGGAAGGUUGGACAAGGGGCGAAAGCCUGAUCCAGCCAGGCCGCGUGUGUGAAGAAGGUCUUCGGAUUGUAAAGCACUUUAAGUUGGGAGGAAGGGCAGUAAGUUAAUACCUUGCUGUUUGGACGUUACCAACAGAAUAGGCACCGGCAAACUCCGG
rnacentral:rRNA from 1 species